rnacentral:rRNA from 1 species
CCGCACAAGCGGUGGAGCAUGUGGUUUAAUUCGAUGCAACGCGAAGAACCUUACCUACACUUGACAUGCAGAGAACUUUCCAGAGAUGGAUUGGUGCCUUCGGGAACUCUGACACAGGUGCUGCAUGGCUGUCGUCAGCUCGUGUCGUGAGAUGUUGGGUUAAGUCCCGCAACGAGCGCAACCCUCGCCCUUAGUUGCCAGCAUUUAGUUGGGCACUCUAGGGGGACUGCCGGUGAUAAGCCGAGAGGAAGGUGGGGAUGACGUCAAGUCCUCAUGCCCCUUACGGGCUGGGCUACACACGUGCUACAAUGGCGGUGACAAUGGGCAGCGAACCCGCGAGGGGGAGCUAAUCUCAAAAAGCCGUCUCAGUUCGGAUUGUUCUCUGCAACUCGAGAGCAUGAAGUUGGAAUCGCUAGUAAUCGCGUAACAGCAUGACGCGGUGAAUACGUUCCCGGGCCUUGUACACACCGCCCGUCACACCAUGGGAGUUGGGUUUACCCGAAGGCAGUGCGCUAACCGUAAGGGGGCAGCUGACCACGGUAGGCUCAGCGACUGGGGUGAAGUCGUAACAAGGUAGCCGUAGGGGAACCUGCGGCUG